GACGUAGGGCGCGAGCGUUGUCCGGAUUUAUUGGGCGUAAAGAGCUCGUAGGCGGUUUGUCGCGUCGGCCGUGAAAUCUCCACGCUUAACGUGGAGCGUGCGGUCGAUACGGGCAGACUUGAGUUCGGUAGGGGAGACUGGAAUUCCUGGUGUAGCGGUGAAAUGCGCAGAUAUCAGGAGGAACACCAAUGGCGAAGGCAGCUCGCUGGGACGGUACUGACGCUGAGGCGCGAAAGCGUGGGGAGCAAACAGG
rnacentral:rRNA from 1 species